ACCAGUUUUUUCACGAUUUUUUUCUAGGAUGCGGCUUACCAGGUCACACAUAUGUUGUCUAAUGGAUCUGAAAAUUUCAGAAAUCUUUUAAUCAGUAACCCUACAACAAAUGGUGCUAGUACCAAUAUUAGCACUCCUCCCUGCACCACUUAAGUGUCAAAAUUACGUGAGGGGGAAUAAAAUAGUUACUUAACAAUGGGCGCGGCCCAAGGUUUCCAAAACCUGCUAGGUUCUGGUUCAAGAUUGGCGCAGGCUUCAUCGUCAAGGCCGGGAUGAAGGACUUAGCAGUGUCUUAACUUUACUUAUUUAUUAAACUAAAUUCUUUUGUUAAAAUCUAGUCAUGGGCGUCUUGAUAUGACAGAUUGGUUUCGAUGAGGUUAAUUUUAAAUUUUACGGAAUUUUUGCCCACCGUGGACGCCUAUGUUACUAGAUGCGAAAUGCGUGGGUUCAUAUCGACUGUGCGUCUUGAUAUAACUUGAUGCAUUGAAACUAACUUUUAAUUAAAUGGUUGUUCGUUGGAUGUUUUGGACUUGUGAUAAUUCGAACAUUCCUAUUUUUUAUUUUAUAUUUUUGUUUUAGUUGUAGUUAAUUGUUUACCAGCUGAUGUAAAAAUACUCAUCCUUACUCUAUUUUCCUAGUGUUAAAUUUGUAAUUGUACGCUUUGUAUAUAUCUUUUGUAAAUUAUGGUUUUACAUUUUACUACUGUAGGUAUACUGUAAAUAAAUUGUCGGUAAUAAAUGGUUCAUUUGUU